ACGGUAGCAAAUAACCUCUCUUCGCUCAAUUUUAUUUUUUUUACUUUAGAAAUAAAAACAAUUAGAAAUGUAAAGCAAUAAAGUUUUGACCUUAAAAUCUCUGAGUAUUCAAUAAUAAAAAAAAAUCCUUAGCCAGAAAUGCUAGGGUUUAGAGUUUAGGUUUUAGGGUUAGGGUUUUGAAUUUUUAGGGUUUAGAAUUUAGAAUUUGGGCCCGGAAGUGGUCGGCGAAUCGGAGCUAGACUUGAUCUCGUCCAUUAAUAAAAAGUGUACUUAGUAA
rnacentral:lncRNA from 1 species